rnacentral:sRNA from 1 species
UGUGAUUUGCACUAGAUUACUACGGUCAGUUUGGCUCUACCAGGUAACGGUAUUGGAAAUUGUAACUUGUUGUUUUAGAUCAAUGUACUGGAACUUGAAGGUCUGAAAUAGCAACUACUCCCUCCGUCCCAUAAUAUAAGGGAUUUUAAUUUUUUGCUUGCACUGUUUGACCAUUCGUCUUAUUCAAAAAAUUUUGGAAUUAUUAUUUAUUUUAUUUGUGACUUACUUUAUUAUCCAAAGUACUUUAAGCACAACUUUUCGUUUUUUAUAUUUGUACAAAUUUUUUGAAUAAGACGAGUGGUCAAACAAUGCAAGCAAAAAGUCAAAAUCCCUUAUAUUAUGAGACGGAGGGAGUAAAAAGGUUCUCUACUUUAUAUUAUGGCAAAUUAUAUUAUAGACUUUUCAUUGUCACUCACUCUUGACAUUUCCUUUUGGUUGCAAGGCACGCCAAGUAGGGUUAUUUUGCUGUAAGUUUUUUUUUUUGUCAUCACAGCAAAGGACAUUUGCAGUUCACACACCGCACCAUAUGCACCUAGAUCAUAACCAGAUUGGAAUGAAUCCCAACAUACACAGGUGAGGCUAAAAAUCCAUGACAUAGAUAGGACAACAAAUUAACAGGAAGUCAAUUCAAACACAGCAUCCAACUACUGCCAGCUCACCACAACAAAAGCACCAGUUCCCUCUGUGAAAAGAAACCUCAACUCACUUCCUGAACAAACACUUGACACGGUGUGUGUCGAUGUCUAAAUGACAUGCAACCUAACAGCACUGCCUCCACCCUGGCCUUGGCCCUAGAAGAGGCCCAGUUGCACGGCGGCAAGUCCUGCCAGGCCCAGCAUAGCCCAUGACCUGGCCCUGAGCCCAGCUGCACCGGCGGACUGCUUGGCGGGCGGCGCGAGCACCGUUGCUGGGGUUGUGGGCGUCAGACCGGAGCUUGUGCCAGGGGACGCCGGUGUCGCUGGUGUCGUAGAUGGAGUCGUCGGUGUGGUGGACGGGGCUUUUGGGGCUGGGGCUGGAGAGGCCGCGGCAACGUCCACGACGAGCUUCAUGCCGUUGCUGCAGUGGCCGGCGAUGCCGCAGAUGAAGUAGUGCUUGCCGGCGGUCUUGAGGGUGACGGUGGUCGUGCCGCUGCUGUCGCUCUGGAGCGCGUUGCUAGCGGUGCACGCAGCGUAGUCCGCUGCGCUCACCUCAUCCACCGAGUGCGCCCCACCGGCGUAGUUGAACACUGGAGAAAAGUAAAAGUUGCUUAGAAAUGCAUUUGCAAGGCAGCAUAUAUAGCAGGUGAACUGGUGAAGUGCAGCAAGUUUUGAUAUGCAUUUUGGUACUAGGAAGCAUCAAUAUUCAAUAUCAAUGCACAUGUUUUACUUCUUUUUUUUUCAGUUUCUGAUGCAAGUCAUGUUUACUAGUUCUUUUUUUUCUCUAGUAUGAUGCCGAUGCACAUUUUAGUU